AACAGAGAAACCAUCAGAUGAUCCUUGUAUGAACUGUUCAUGAUCACAAUGCUGCUCUUAUAGGUUGAGUUUUGUUUUCUAUAACCUCUCUUCCUCUGCAGUUAGUGUUACUGAUAUGUAUGGGGUUUUUUUCAUAAGGCUGAGUUUGCUGCUCUGCCUGUUUCUUGAAAAUUCAAUGAUAUCCUAAUUACACAUUUCAUUUCAGGGCUGCUUUUUUUUCAACGUGUCGGUCCCUGUUGCUGUUCAAAUUAAUAGCUCCUUUUAUGCCACACCUCCAGUCAAACUUGGAUUUGGCUUCCCUGAACUGUUCUUGGCACAUUAUAUAGCCCUAUAGGCUCUUGGCAGCCAAGGCUCUGAAGGAAAUUCCAGAUCUGCCUGGUAUCAUGGGUGGAUGGACCCAGUCCAACCAUUCAUGCUAAUUAACUGGCUUGUUUUCUUUUGCAGGACAAUGUAGUUUCUCUGGACUUUACUUGGAAAGCAUUACAACAAAAGAAAACUGUGUGAUUGCUACCUGUAUGCUAUCCAAUGUUUAGCUACUAAACAGUUUGGUUCACAGCUUCACGUCUAGCUUUUGCGUGUCCCUAUCUUUCCAGUAUUCCACUAGCCAGUAAGGAUGCUGGCUAAGCAUGGGGUUCACUUAGGAGUAACUGUGUACACUGAAUAUUAAGGAUCAUAUUUUCAAGAAUAACUUCAACACAUGACCUUGCAAGUUUGCACAUAUAUAUUCCUUGAAACAGGCAUGUCUAUACUGCAGUUGUGGAAGCAAUUUCAGCAUAGUAUAAAGAGGUUCAAAACAGUAUUCAGCUAUGGAACUUUUGUCUGAUGUAACAGGGAACCCGUGCCCUUGUUGAUAGGGUGACCUGAAUAGGUAGGAAAGCAGGGGUCAGGCAAGGCAACCAGUGCAGAGGCCCAGGUGGCCUGAACCAGGGAUGAAAAGGCCAGACAGCUAAUGAAGCAAUGAGCUACACCUGGCCCUAGCAGAUAGAGGAAGAGGGUCCAAUCAGAUGACUGGAAGGAGGCUGAGCUGGGGGCUAUAAGACCAGUCUCUGAGCAGGUAGACACAGACAUCACAAGCAACACAAGGGAGCUACAGAUGAGAGGGCUCUGAUGAAAGAUCCAAAUAUGAGCAACCAGAGCAUUGCAAUAGGCUACAAUGAUUACUGACAGUCAAAGCAUGCCAUUCCCUAGAGGAAGAGUUAACCAGGUGUGCUCAGACUAGAACAGCUGUGUGAAUCCUGACUUCAUUAAAUCCAGAGGGAGAACAGAUUAAAGAGGAACUGGCUGGAAAACAAACAACAGUUCUCUUUCUAGAGAUGCACCCA